CUUCCCAAGAGCACUUAUUGACCCAUCCUCAGGCCUCCCGAACCGGCUUCCCCCUGGUGCUGUGCCCCCAGGAGCUCGCUUUGACCCCUUUGGACCCAUUGGGACCAGCCCAUCUGGACCUAAUCCAGACCAUCUCCCCCCACCGGGCUACGAUGACAUGUACCUGUGAAGGCCUCAAGAAUGUAACAUCUCAGCCUCCCUUGCACUCUCCUGGAGCUGCCAUCACUGGCCCCAUCAGUGUUCCUGUUCUUGUGGGCUCAGGGCAGAGGAUUCUGCCCAUGUGUUUGCAGGCUUGCUGGGGUUAUAUCCCCAGCCCUUGUCAGAACCGAGGCGCCUGCUGCAGCACCCCACCCAGCUGCAUAUAGGUCCCAAGGAGAAAUCAGUGUGUGUCUAUCAUCACCAGCUCCUCCCCACUUCCAAGGGAGACUCCGGCAACAUAAACCCUCCACCCGAUGCAGUCCCGGUCACAGCGC